rnacentral:rRNA from 1 species
GAUGAACGCUGGCGGCGUGCCUAAUACAUGCAGGUCGAGCGAACAGACGAGGAGCUUGCUCCUCUGACGUUAGCGGCGGACGGGUGAGUAACACGUGGAUAACCUACCUAUAAGACUGGGAUAACUUCGGGAAACCGGAGCUAAUACCGGAUAAUAUAUUGAGCCGCAUGGUUCAAUAGUGAAAGACGGUUUUGCUGUCACUUAUAGAUGGAUCCGCGCCGCAUUAGCUAGUUGGUAAGGUAACGGCUUACCAAGGCAACGAUGCGUAGCCGACCUGAGAGGGUGAUCGGCCACACUGGAACUGAGACACGGUCCAGACUCCUACGGGAGGCAGCAGUAGGGAAUCUUCCGCAAUGGGCGAAAGCCUGACGGAGCAACGCCGCGUGAGUGAUGAAGGUCUUCGGAUCGUAAAACUCUGUUAUUAGGGAAGAACAAAUGUGUAAGUAACUAUGCACGUCUUGACGGUACCUAAUCAGAAAGCCACGGCUAACUACGUG